UACGGAGGGGGACUAGCGUUGUUCGGAAUUACUGGGCGUAAAAGCGCACGUAGGCGGAUUUGUAAGUCAGGGGGUGAAAUCCCGGGGGCUCAACCUCGGAACUGCCUUUUGAUACUGCAAAUCUCGAGUCCGGAAGAGGUGAGUGGAAUUCCUAGUGUAGAGGUGAAAAUUUCGUAGAUAUUAGGAAGAACACCAGUGGCGAAGGCGGCUCACUGGUCCGGUACUGACGCUGAGGUGCGAAAAGCGUGGGGGAGCAAAACA
rnacentral:rRNA from 1 species